rnacentral:rRNA from 1 species
CACGUAGGGGGCAAGCGUUGUCCGGAUUUAUUGGGCGUAAAGAGCGCGUAGGCGGCCCGGAAAGUCGGAUGUGAAAACCCGGGGCUCAACCCCGGGCCUGCAUCCGAUACUCCCGGGCUGGAGGCAGGUAGGGGAGAUCGGAAUUCCUGGUGUAGCGGUGAAAUGCGCAGAUAUCAGGAGGAACACCGGUGGCGAAGGCGGAUCUCUGGGCCUGUCCUGACGCUGAGGCGCGAAAGCUAGGGGAGCGAACAGG